CUCUCUCAGUACCCUGCGCCGCUCUUCUCAGUACCCAUCCCGCAGACAGGAAAUGACGCAAUACCGCAGCUCUCAAUCCCCUCAGACCGGAAAUGUCGUCAACCCUUGCGACGAAAACAAGUUACGUUAUUUCACCUCUCGCGAAGAAAACACGGUAAGUGGCCGCACUGAAAAAAAGUUUUUAAAAGCGUAUGCAUGUUUAAAAAUGUUAAAUAGUUAAACAACACUUGCGGUGAAAAUAUGAAGUGUUUAUUCUGAGUUGAAAAGACCGUACUUAUAUCUAGUAUUCUUAAUGUAAUUUAAAUAAUGUCUUCCUUUACUAACUGCAUGUGACUUUGCUCUACUUAUAUUGUUUAAUACGUACUGAUGAAUUCAGCAGCGAAUUGGCUAAUGCUGCUAAUGCUUUUUACAUUUUUUCCCCCUCAAUGAACAGUCUUCUUUGUGUAGGUUUCAUUAUAUUGCACUCUUAUUUUUCAUUAUGUACAUGCCUGCAAUUCGCAGCUCGCUGUUUUUGUUGUUGUAUGGUAUUGUUGUUUUGCCUUCAUUUGUUUUGUCUGGUCCUUUGUAGUUUGAAUGUUGUCACAUGAUCCAAAUAGGACAAGCCCCUUGAUCACCACCCCAUUGGGAAGAAACUAAGUCACGACCCCCAAAUGGUAGUCUUCCCAUGCAGAUACAGGGAUGUCACACAGAUCCAAAUGGAAACAUCGAACACUGUAAAACCCACUGUGCAGACAGGACCAAUGGUGACAAUAUAAGACCAUGCCGAGCUUCGUGGACGGUUCAAACUCAUCCUGCCCAGGAACGGCUGAAAACGUUGACAGUCAAUCAACAGGGGGACAUGGAAAGAGAGGAUUGGAAGUGAAAUAGAGGGUUUUCCGGGACAGCCAUAGGGGAAGGACUGUGGCAUCUUCAUGUUGAUGGUAGACUGAUAUGCCAACUCUGAGGAAGUGGUGGUGUAUAUUGAUAGCGGACAAUUUCAAACUUGGGUGCAUGCCACAGGAAAGAGUUUGCCCAUUGGACAGAUGAGGCAAAAGCAUUACUGCAGGGUGAAGUGCCACCAGUCUAUCAGUUACAGAAGUGAAAUUUGAAUAUAAUUGCUGAGGAAGAGGUGCAACCACAGCUCCUUCAAGUUAGUGGUGGCCCACUCCAAAAAGAUAUGGCGGGAAAAAAUGUUUUGGUAAAAGGAUUGUGCAAGACAGCACAAAAGCCUCGGACAGGGCUAGGGGGAAAAAAAAAAAUCAAUGCAGUAGGAGUUCCCAAGCAUCCUGCAGAUGGAAGAGGAUGAGCACGAACUACAAUGUCUUGGAGCCAUUCAAGUUCUGUUUCAACCAUCUGGAAGAUGGAUUUACCUUUUUUGAGGAGAUUGUUGACUAAAGAAAAUAUCUAUUCUCUCAAUAAUAAUAAAAAAUAAUAAAACUAAAAAAAUAAAGUUUACCACAUCAGAACUGGUUGU